GUGACAGAUAUGUCAUCAGCAUGUGUCCCAAUUUGUUAUUUCGGUGAAUUUCAAAAGAAUGAAAAUGCUAAGUGGGAAUGGAAAUGGACGAGUGAAGGAGAUGAGGUUAAAGCAAUUUUUAUAACAAGGGGUAUAUCGUUUACAGAAAUGUACUAUGAUAUACAAAACAUGCUUAACGUCGAUCCCUCUCAGUACGAUAUGGAAUUGAGAUUUUUGUUUCAUAAGCAUUCAACCAUUUCGAUUCCACAUAUGAAAUUUACUUCUGAAGUGGAGAUGAAACAUCUAAUUAAAUUGAACCAAGGCCAAAAAUCGACUCCUAUUUGUUUAACUUUAUUGAGGAAGAAUGUCCCCGAGGGUGAACAUGAAGUUUUCGAUGAAGAGAAUCAUAAUGUAAAUGAUGUUUGGGAUACAAUCAG
rnacentral:lncRNA from 1 species